GCGGUGAUGAUGUGUUUAAUCGAUGCAACGCGAAAACCUUACCCACCUUUGACAUGUACGGAACUCGCCAGAGAUGGCUUGGUGCUCGAAAGAGAACCGUAACACAGGUGCUGCAUGGCUGUCGUCAGCUCGUGUCGUGAGAUGUUGGGUUAAGUCCCGCAACGAGCGCAACCCUUGUCAUUAGUUGCUACAUUUAGUUGGGCACUCUAAUGAGACUGCCGGUGACAAGCCGGAGGAAGGUGGGGAUGACGUCAAGUCCUCAUGGCCCUUAUGGGUAGGGCUUCACACGUCAUACAAUGGUCGGUACAGAGGGUUGCCAACCCGCGAGGGGGAGCUAAUCCCACAAAGCCGAUCGUAGUCCGGAUCGCAGUCUGCAACUCGACUGCGUGAAGUCGGAAUCGCUAGUAAUCGCGGAUCAGCAUGUCACGGUGAAUACGUUCCCGGGUCUU
rnacentral:rRNA from 1 species